UAAAAAUUUUAAAACAACACUAAAGAUCAUAGGCUUCAGUAUAUAGAAUAUUUACCAAAACAAUUAAUAUUUUCAUAGGGGUUAACGCAUAGAUUUUGAAAAAAAUUCAAAAAUAUGAAAAUACUGUUUUAAUGUAUAGUUGCAUCCUUCAUUAACAUAUGAUGAAGGUCAAAGAGGUUUUGAACUUUUGUUGUCUCCGUUUCUCUAGAAAAUAGUAAUUUUAUACUAGUUAGUCCACCAAUUUAGGGAGUAUUAUGAAAUUUUACUAAAUUAAUUGACAAAAAAUUAAAACGAUGCCCAUGUACCAUGAAAGAUAGUUUAAUAUACAUUAGUACAAAUGUAGAAUGUGUUUAAAAAUUUUAAAACAACACUAAAGAUAAUAGGCUUCAGUAUAUAGAGCAUUUACCAAAUAAUUCAAUAUUUUCAUACGGUUAGCACAUAGAUUUUCAGAAAAAUUCGAAAAUAUGAAAAUAUUGUUUUAAUGCGUACUUACAUCCUUCACUAACUAAUGAUGAAGGUCAAAGAGGUUUGAAACUUUUGUUGUCAUUGUUUCUAUAUAAAAUGGCGAUUUUAUACUGGUUAGUCCACCAAUUUUGAGAUUAUUAUGAAGUUUCACUAAAUUAAUUGAUAAAAAAUUAAAACGAUGCCCAUGUACCACGAAACAGACUUUAAUAUACAUUAAUACAAAUGGAGAAUGUGUUUAAAAAUUUUAAAACAACAAUAAAGAUCAUAGGCUUCAGUAUAUAGAGCACUUCCCGAAAAAUUCAAUAUUUUCGUAGGGGUUAACACAUAGAUUUUGA